rnacentral:misc_RNA from 1 species
UAAUAAGUGUUUUAUGGCACUUUUUUAAAUCCAUAUCCACCUUGUGUGCAAUGUCAGUCGAUCUUCUUCAUGGAGAUCGACCAAACAUCAACCUUUAUCUUUUAACUCUUUGUCUGAAAAUAUUAUGAAUAAACAAUUCAAAAUA